rnacentral:rRNA from 1 species
UACGUAGGUGGCAAGCGUUAUCCGGAAUUAUUGGGCGUAAAGCGCGCGCAGGUGGUUUCUUAAGUCUGAUGUGAAAGCCCACGGCUCAACCGUGGAGGGUCAUUGGAAACUGGGAGACUUGAGUGCAGAAGAGGAAAGUGGAAUUCCAUGUGUAGCGGUGAAAUGCGUAGAGAAUAUGGAGGAACACCAGUGGCGAAGGCGACUUUCUGGUCUGAUAACUGACACUGAGGCGCGAAAGCGUGGGGAGCAAACAGG